AUUGAACGCUGGCGGCAGGCCUAACACAUGCAAGUCGAGCGAGCGGCGGACGGGAGAGUAAUGCCGGGGAAUUGCCAAGGCGAGGGGGAUAACAGGUGGAAAAGACUGCUAAUAGCGCAUCCGAAUGGAUUGCCCAGGUGGGAUUAGCGAGUUGGUGAGGUAAUGGCUCACCAAGGAGACGAUCCCUAGCUGGUCUGAGAGGAUGAUCAGCCACACUGGAACUGAGACACGGUCCAGACUCCUACGGGAGGCAGCAGUGGGGAAUAUUGCACAAUGGGCGAAACCCUGAUGCAGCCAUGCCGCGUGUGUGAAGAAGGCCUUCGGGUUGUAAAGCACUGUCAGCGAGGAGGCGUUACUCGCAGAAGAAGCACCGGCUAACUCCGUGCCAGCAGCCGCGGUAAUUC
rnacentral:rRNA from 1 species